UGGGGAAUAUUGCACAAUGGGCGCAAGCCUGAUGCAGCCAUGCCGCGUGUGUGAAGAAGGCCUUCGGGUUGUAAAGCACUUUCAGCGAGGAGGAAGGUGGUGAACUUAAUACGUUCAUCAAUUGACGUUACUCGCAGAAGAAGCACCGGCUAACUCCGUGCCAGCAGCCGCGGUAAUACGGAGGGUGCAAGCGUUAAUCGGAAUUACUGGGCGUAAAGCGCACGCAGGCGGUUUGUUAAGUCAGAUGUGAAAUCCCCGGGCUCAACCUGGGAACUGCAUUUGAAACUGGCAAGCUAGAGUCUCGUAGAGGGGGGUAGAAUUCCAGGUGUAGCGGUGAAAUGCGGUAGAGAUCUGGAGGAAUACCUGUGGCGCAAGGCGGCCCCUGGACGAAGACUGACGCUCAGGAUGGCGAAAGCAGUGGGGGAU
rnacentral:rRNA from 1 species